GGGAACAUACCCUUUUCUACGGAAUAGCUCUGGGAAACUGGAAUUAAUACCGUAUACGCCCUACGGGGGAAAGAUUUCUCGGGGAAGGAUUGGCCCGCGUUGGAUUAGCUAGUUGGUGGGGUAAAGGCCUACCAAGGCGACGAUCCAUAGCUGGUCUGAGAGGAUGAUCAGCCACAUUGGGACUGAGACACGGCCCAAACUCCUACGGGAGGCAGCAGUGGGGAAUAUUGGACAAUGGGCGCAAGCCUGAUCCAGCCAUGCCGCGUGAGUGAUGAAGGCCUUAGGGUUGUAAAGCUCUUUCACCGAUGAAGAUAAUGACGGUAGUCGGAGAAGAAGCCCCGGCUAACUUCGUGCCAGCAGCCGCGGUAAUACGAAGGGGGCUAGCGUUGUUCGGAAUUACUGGGCGUAAAGCGCACGUAGGCGGAUAUUUAAGUCAGGGGUGAAAUCCCAGAGCUCAACUCUGGAACUGCCUUUGAUACUGGGUAUCUUGAGUAUGGAAGAGGUAAGUGGAAUUGCGAGU
rnacentral:rRNA from 1 species